rnacentral:rRNA from 1 species
UCUGCAACCCGACUCCAUGAAGCUGGAUUCGCUAGUAAUCGCGCAUCAGCCACGGCGCGGUGAAUACCGUUCCCGGGCCUUGUACACACCGCCCGUCAAGCCAUGAAAGCCGGGGGUACCUGAAGUCCGUAACCGUAAGGAGCGGCCUAGGGUAAAACUGGUAAUUGGGGCUAAGUCGUAACAAGGUAAC